rnacentral:rRNA from 1 species
GACGAACGCUGGCGGCGUGCCUAAUACAUGCAAGUCGAGCGAGCGGAACUAACAGAUUUACUUCGGUAAUGACGUUAGGAAAGCGAGCGGCGGAUGGGUGAGUAACACGUGGGGAACCUGCCCCAUAGUCUGGGAUACCACUUGGAAACAGGUGCUAAUACCGGAUAAGAAAGCAGAUCGCAUGAUCAGCUUUUAAAAGGCGGCGUAAGCUGUCUCUAUGGGAUGGCCCCGCGGUGCAUUAGCUAGUUGGUAAGGUAAAGGCUUACCAAGGCGAUGAUGCAUAGCCGAGUCGAGAGACUGAUCGGCCACAGUGGGACUGAGACACGGCCCAAACUCCUACGGGAGGCAGCAGUAGGGAAUCUUCCACAAUGGACGCAAGUCUGAUGGAGCAACGCCGCGUGAGUGAAGAAGGUUUUCGGAUCGUAAAGCUCUGUUGUUGGUGAAGAAGGAUAGAGGUAGUAACGGGCCUUUAUUUGACGGUAAUCAACCAGAAAGUCACGGCUAACUACGU